rnacentral:rRNA from 1 species
UACGUAGGGGGCAAGCGUUGUCCGGAUUUAUUGGGCGUAAAGAGCGUGUAGGCGGUUUGGUAGGUCCGCUGUGAAAACUCGAGGCUCAACCUCGAGACGCCGGUGGAAACCAUCAGGCUAGAGUCCGGAAGAGGAGAGUGGAAUUCCUGGUGUAGCGGUGAAAUGCGCAGAUAUCAGGAAGAACACCCGUGGCUAAGGCGGCUCUCUAGUACGGUACUGACGCUGAGACGCGAAAGCGUGGGGGAGCGAACAGG